AUGCAAAGAGGGCUCCAAAACAGCCAGCUGCUCCCAAACACCCGCGUGCUCCCAAACAGCCGCGUGCUCCCAAAAAGCCAGCUACCCCCAAAAAAGACAACUAACAAAUCUGUAGAAUGCAGUGCUAGCUCCUCUGUGGUUGUUGACAAUUCAAACUUGUCAGCUUUCGAGAUGGCACAGACAAUGGGUAGUCAAUAUAGAAUUUUUCAUGAUGAUGUGGAGUUUUCACCGGAUGAUGUUGACCACCCAGCCACAAUGCAAUCUCAAACUGUUUUGAUGUGGUUGAUAGUACUGAGAGAUGUGAGUCCUCCGUGGUUUAUCAGGAAGAACCACUCAUAG
rnacentral:rRNA from 1 species